ensembl:lncRNA BMS1P1 BMS1 pseudogene 1
GAAUUUCCGUUUCCGGCGGUGUCCAAGCGGACCUAAGGAGUCGCAGUUGUGAACAGGUUAGAGUUACUUGUUAUUGGUAAAUAGCCACUAUGGAGACUAAGGACCAGAAGAAACACAGAAAGAAAAACAGUGGACCCAAAGCUGCAAAGAAAAAGAAGUGGCAUCUGCAGGAUCUCCAGCUAGGAGACGAAGAAAAUGCCCAGAAGAGAAAUGCCAAUGCUUUUGCAGUUCAGUCUGCUGUGUGGAUGUCUCGAUCCUUUCACAGGACUCUGGAUUUGAAGACACAAAAGCAUCAUAUUCCAGUGGUUGAUGGAACUCCACUAGAGCCGCCACCAAUAGCGGUAGUGGUGACGGGGCCUCCAAAGUUGGAAAGAGCACUUUGAUAUAAUGCCUCAUUCGGAACUUCACCUGGCAGAAGUUCACCGAGAUCAGAGGCCCUGUGACGAUCGUGUCAGGUAAAAAGCGCAGACUCACCAUUAUUGAAUGUGGGUGUGACAUUAACAUGAUGAUUGAUCUGGCUAAAGUAGCAGAUCUGGUACUGAUGCUUAUAGAUGCCAGCUUUGGGUUUGAAAUGGAAAUGUUUGAGUUUCUAAACAUCUGUCAAGCACAUGGCUUUCCUAAAAUUCUGGGAGUUCUCACCCACCUCGACUCCUUCAAGCAUAACAAGCAACUGAAGAAGACAAAGAAGUGAUUAAAACACAGGUUCUGGACAGAAGUUUACCAGGUUGCCAAACUGUUCUACCUUUCUGGAAUGGUGCAUGGAGAAUAUCAAAACCAAGAAAUCCACAAUCUGGGCCAUUUUAUUACAGUUAUGAAGUUUAGGCCUCUCAUGGCAAACUUUUCACCCUUAUAUCCUGGCAGACAGUUAAAAGGUGAUUGUAAACUUUUUCUUCCUGGGCCAUAUAUUUCAAAGCUAAAAAGGCUAGAAAAAGAACAGUGAUAGGAUUUAUUUUGUGCCUAUUUGAAUAGUGGGGGUAGAAGUGUAGUUGAUGGAAAAUGUCUACUUAUAUCAUUGCUCAAAGAUGCUGUGCCUUUGGGAGUAAAUUAAUUAUGAGAUGUUUAGGAAAAUGGGAGGACUUGGAAGCAUUUAAGACUACAGGAUGUGGCCCCAUCCUACGUUCAGCCUCAGUUUUCAGUGAUGCUGCCUUCAUGCCCGGGUGCUGGAGUCCUUCGUGCAUGCCUUCAGUUUCCUUCCUUUGUGCUCUUCUUUGUGCUGUGAUUUUCUCAGCCUGGAAUACCCUUUUUCCACCUGCCAGAAUCCAAGCCACAGUACAAAUCCCAGAGCACAGGCUCACCCUCUUCGAGAAAUGGAUUUUCUGAAUGUGUUCUUCACUCUUCCCUGACCCCAGGUGGACGCCAUCUCCCAUCUGGUGUCUUAUGGAAUGAAUGUCACUUUCAGCCUAGAGACACAGUUGUGUGCCUGCCCCUUUUCCUCUUCUGGAUGGUGAACGGUGCUUCCUUAUUUCUGCAUUUUCUAGUUCCUAAGUGAUGUGCUUAAUGGACAAGAGUGUGAUGAGUCAUUGACACAUGAAAGGAGGUAUAGGAACUUUGGCAUUCAUUUCUGCUGUAUGAUUGAGUUUAUUUUUCUAGGAUGGAAGAUUUGACAAACCCGGAGGAUAUCCAAACAAACAUCAAAUGUGACCUGCAGGUGUCACUUUAUGGUUAUUUAAGAGGAGCACACUUGAAAAAUAAAAGCCAAAUUCACAUGCCAGGUAUUCUCUUGCUGUAGAACAUACGAGAAUUGCACAUAGGAUUCUUGGGAUGGCUUCAUUUCUCAGGAAAAGUGAAAAAUGACCAAACAAGGGAAGAUGGCCUUGCUGGAGGUUUUAAAAGUAAGCCAGCUAUGUGUAGGCCUGCAAAGGUGUUACCGAAUCCCUCUUCUCUGACCUCUUGUAGCUAGAGGGCCACUGUUCCAGUGUGGCACAAUGCCCUUCUUUAGGGUCAUGGGUUAAGCCCUUGGACUGUGGAUCGUUUUUAACCCCCCAGUCAACAGUAGAUACUUACUGACUUCUUGUCAGUUGAAGCUGGCUUUUUGGGUCCUGUCUUCCAGGGGUAGAACAUUUUGCCAUGAGUGACAUCAGUUUCCUCCCAGACCCUUGUGUUCUUCCUGAAUAACAAAAGAAGUGCUGUUUAAAUAAGAAGGAGCAGCUGGUUUAUGCGCCUGUUUCUGGAGUUGAGGGUGUGCUGUAUGACAAAGACGCUGUCUGUGUUGACCUUGGUGGCAGCCACGGUUUUCAGGCAUCAGUGAGGCAGGAGUCUUUGCUCUGAACUCUCAUUAUUCUUUCCUAAUCUAUUUCUUAAUCAAAAAAAGUAAUGUACUCAGCUUUUAUUUAUUGAAGAUUUUUCUCUUGUACUUAUAAUAAAGGCCCAAAUGCAUAUUGUCAAUAUGUA